rnacentral:tRNA from 4 species
GUGAGCAUAGUUUAAUAAAACACUAGAUUGUGAUUCUAGAAUUAGAAGUUAAAACCUUCUUGCCCACC